UGAGAGUUAAUUUGCUGCUUACCUAGGAA
rnacentral:piRNA from 1 species